rnacentral:rRNA from 1 species
GAUGAACGCUGGCAGAAUGCUUAACACAUGCAAGUCUUUGGCGAAGCUGUGCUCGCACAGCCUAGCCAAGGCGGACGGGUGAGUAACGCGUAAGGAACUUGCCCUGCAGUCAGGGAUAACAGACUGAAACGACUGAUAAGACCUGGUAAAGUCAGGCGGACUCAUGUCCAGCCUGAUGAAAAGAGAUGCUGCAGGAGAGCCUUGCGUCCUAUUAGCUUGUUGGUGGGGUAACGGCCCACCAAGGCGAUGAUAGGUAGCCGGCCUGAGAGGGUGGACGGCCACAAGGGGACUGAGAUACGGCACUUACUCCUACGGGAGGCAGAAGUGGGGAAUAUUGGACAAUGGGGGCAACCCUGAUACAGAAAUUCUGUGUGCACGAUGAAGGUUUUCGGAUUGUAAAGUGCUUUCAGCAGGGAAGAAAAAAAUGACGGUACCUGCAGAAGAAGCGACGGCUAAAUACGUG